rnacentral:rRNA from 1 species
GACGAACGCUGGCGGCGUGCUUAACACAUGCAAGUCGAGCGGUAAGGCUCCUUCGGGUGUACACGAGCGGCGAACGGGUGAGUAACACGUGAGCAAUCUGCCCUUCACUUUGGGAUAACUUCCGGAAACGGAAGCUAAUACCGAAUACGACCACUUCAGGCAUCUGAUGGUGGUGGAAAGUUCCGGCGGUGAAGGAUGAGCUCGCGGCCUAUCAGCUUGUUGGUGAGGUAAUGGCUCACCAAGGCUUCGACGGGUAGCCGGCCUGAGAGGGUGACCGGCGACACUGGGACUGAGACACGGGCCAGACUCCUACGGGAGGCAGCAGUGGGGAAUAUUGGACAAUGGGCGAAAGUCUGAUCCAGCAGCGCCGCGUGAGGGAUGACGGCCUUCGGGUUGUAAACCUCUUUCAGCGGGGACGAAGCGAAAGUGACGGUACCCGCAGAAGAAGCACCGGCCAACUACGUGCCAGCCGCCGCAGUAA